UCAAACUGGGUACUGUCCCGCGGGCCUGGCCCAGAAGGGUUUGUUGCGGGGCGGGUAUGGGCCUAGGGAUUCAUGACCCGCAAAAAAGCGGGCCUUGCGGGACUGGGCUUGUUUGAUACCGGGUCUAAAGCGGGACGGCCCGCAUCAACCGCGGGAAGGCCCACAUGUACCGCAUCUAGAUGCUUCGUCGUUUCCGUUGCCCUUUCACCUGAAAAUGAAAAGUUUAAUAUCUACUGAAAUGACCAUUGCAGAUGUGUCGUCUCUUCUUGUUAAGGAGGAGACUGCAUUCCCUUUGAGACAAGACUCUUCACUAAUUCCAGGAGAACCCAAUAUAUCUUAUAUAGCCUCUGUUCCCUGGAGAGACUAGAGUUGAUCAAUUGGUGGAGAUCAUUAAGGCAAUAAAACGAUUGUGGUUUUUGUUUUCUUUCCUGUUAGAUUCUCAGAGUUUGUCUCUGACAUGUAGUUCUUAUAUAUUCUAUGAAUUGUCUCUGAUUUGUCUUCUUUUUUUUUGUUUGUGUUUUGAGUGCCAGCACCAUCGCCAUUUGUAGUCUAAAGUCGAUCUUUGUGUUUUAACUUAGUUAAGAAGUUGUUGUGAUCAAAGAGAACAUGUGUUGUGGCUCUUUGAUGAUUCUGUUUAUGUAUAAACAAUCAAAUUAUCUA